GAUGAACGCUGGCGGCGUGCCUAAUACAUGCAAGUCGAGCGAACAGACGAGGAGCUUGCUCCUCUGACGUUAGCGGCGGACGGGUGAGUAACACGUGGAUAACCUACCUAUAAGACUGGGAUAACUUCGGGAAACCGGAGCUAAUACCGGAUAAUAUAUUGAACCGCAUGGUUCAAUAGUGAAAGACGGUUUUGCUGUCACUUAUAGAUGGAUCCGCGCCGCAUUAGCUAGUUGGUAAGGUAACGGCUUACCAAGGCAACGAUGCGUAGCCGACCUGAGAGGGUGAUCGGCCACACUGGAACUGAGACACGGUCCAGACUACUACGGGAGGCAGCAGUAGGGAAUCUUCCGCAAUGGGCGAAAGCAUGACGGAGCAACGCGGCGUGAGUGAUGAAGGUCUUCGGAUCGUAAAACUCUGUUAUUAGGGAAGAACAAAUGUGUAAGUAACUAUGCACGUCUUGACGGUACCUAAUCAGAAAGCCACGGCUAACUACGUG
rnacentral:rRNA from 1 species